rnacentral:lncRNA from 1 species
GCCCUGCAGCUGGACCUGAUAAAACAGGACUGACUGAAGACCACAUGCUGCCCUUAUGUGAUGAUAUGUGGAUCUCAUCAGUGAGCCAACUUACCCUAAAAAGCCUUGGAUGCUGUUGGAACGAGUCCUCUUCUCCAGCUGGAGAUCCUUCACAGACCUAGCUGGCCAUCCCAUACAAACCUUAAUGUAUUUGGGUCCUGGGAGAUGCCUUGGUGUUUGGGUGCUGGAUGGAGAUGCAGCACUGCAGAGGGAUUUUGGUUUGUCUCGUCUUGAACUGGAGCUGGUGAACGGAGUCCUGAAGAUCCCAGGUCAUUUCCUUCCACAGAUAGAGAGAAGAAAACCAGUUGUGGUGUGCACAGUGCAGGAGACUGAAGGGGAUGCCCGCGGCUCUCUGCAGAGAGAGUCUUCCUCUGAAGAAGUCCCCCGGCAGCAAGUGGCUGCAGGGAGAACACAGGUGAGGGAAGGGACCCACAGGCGGGAGGAUCGCCACUCCGUUUCCACUCGCUUCUUGGCUGCCCUGCAUUUUGGAGCAGCUGACUCAAGAGGGCAGCAAGCCGACGGGCUGCCACCGGCUCCAGCGGCCAGCCCUGCCCCACUGGAUCCCACCGACGGCCUCCACGCCCGGGAGGGCUGCGUGUCGGAGGAAUUCGCUGGGAUGACG